AUACCAGUGCAUUUCGACAAACUCGCAAAAGCGUGUGAAUAGCAGUGUCCAUUUGCGAAGUGCAUCACUACGUGAACUCGGUCGGCCGCAUUGUAUCUUCGGCCUGACCAGCAUUAUAAAGCCUUUUAUUGCCUCCCAAAGCUACCCUAAGCUGAACAUGAGUGCCCGAAACCUCAGCUGCUCUACCGGUGAAUUGUUGGCGGUCGCAGACAUCCAGAAAAGCUAGCUUGAGUCUUCCUGGGCAAACCGAGCAAGUGUGGCGUGAUGUUGCUGUUAUGCAAAUUAGAACUGCACCCUCCUCUGUGACGCCAAUGGAUCUGAACCGGAAAAAUACCGACUCUGCAUGCUGGGUGGAUCAGGAGGCAGAUGAGCACGAUGAUAAUAACAGUUUCCGGGAAUGGGUAAUGCAGUUGGAACAAUUGAAAACAACAAGGAAACUCGUUAUUCCGAGCAUGAAGCACACCACCAGGAAGAGUUGCUGCAUCUCGAAUGAAAGCAACAGCGUCAAUAACAGAGUAUGAACUUUAUUGUGGAGAAUACACUGAAAUGGGCUGAUAGGGUGCCGGAGCCUAUUUUAAGCAAA